rnacentral:rRNA from 1 species
CAAUAGCGUAUAUUAAAGUUGUUGCAGUUAAAAGCUCGUAGUUGGAUUUCUGGUCGGAGCGACCGGUCGGCGUCCUUUGUGGCGUGUGCACUGUUGUCGGCUCCGUCCAUCCUAGUGGGAAGGCGCGUUGGCAUUCAUUUGUCGGCGCGUGGCCCGCUACGUUUACUGUGAAAAAUUAGAGUGUUUAAAGCAGGCGUUCGCUGUGAAUACAUUAGCAUGGAAUAAUGAGAUAGGACUUUGGUACUAUUUUUGUUGGUUUGCGCACCAAGGUAAUGAUUAAUAGGGAUAGUUGGGGGUGAUUCAUAUCAAUUGUCAGAGGUGAAAUUCUUGGAUUUAUGGAAGAUGAACUUAUGCGAAA